AGUACUGUACUGUACUGAGGGCCUCCAGUAAGUACUGUACUGUACUGAGGGCCUCCAGUAAGUACUGUACUGAGGGCCUCCAGUAAGAAAGAAAAGUUCAAUCCACAAAACGUUUUACAAAGAAAACCAACUGUUUUUAACGGUUUUAAAUAUCCAGGAUACAACAUAGUCACUCUGAAAAUACAAAAUGAUUGAGAAUCUACCAUCUGUUUUCAAGUGAUUUCCCGUAGCAGACAUGUUUACAGCGAGGAGAGACGACUGAAGCGCUAAGCAGAAGGCGAUAGAUCUAGCAGUCCCUGUAAGCUAAUCAGUAGUUAAGGUGACGAGUGUUUAUUAAAAAUCACUUUUCUACGGUUUUAAACAUGUUUGACCCCAGGUAAUGGUUUUGUACAGUUGCUUUGAAAAGGAUAUGGGGCUUAAUGAACUAUUCAGUUGUACACAGAUUGGACCAGUUUUACUGUCUACAACACUGUCAGGUAACGAGAAAGACAUGGACACUGUUCAUCUAUCAUUACAACAUUUUGUAAGGUUUCCAAAAAGACCAGAAGGACAUCAACCAAAAAACUAAAACAUCCAUGUCGAAUAAAUCUAAUCAUGAUGGAACCAAACAUUUAUUUGUCUGCAUUGUGAGUGGUGAGACUGUCUGCUACUUUAGAACAAGCUACAAACCUGCACUAAAAGCCACAGGUGGUUUCAUUAAAGAGACUGGGGCAGCAUUAAGCAGAUGAUGAAAUAACUGGGCUUGAACCACCAGCAUUGGUGAUGAGGCGGUAACUUGUUGGUCAAACCCAGCAGCACAGUGUACAGUACUACUGCCAUGUGUUGGAGAUAGAGUCCUCUGACCUCUCCUCUUCUGCCUCCACUAGCCCUGGCUUCUACCUCAACCCAGCAGCACAGUGUACAGUACUACUGCCAUGUGUUGGAGAUAGAGAGUCCCCUGACCUCUCCUCUUCUGCCUCCACUAGCCCUGGCUUCUACCUCAACCCAGCAGCACAGUGUACAGUACUACUGCCAUGUGUUGGAGAUAGAGAGUCCCCUGACCUCUCCUCUUCUGCCUCCACUAGCCCUGGCUUCUACCUCAACCCAGCAGCACAGUGUACAGUACUACUGCCAUGUGUUGGAGAUAGAGAGUCCCCUGACCUCUCCUCUUCUGCCUCCACUAGCCCUGGCUUCUACCUCAACCCAGCAGCACAGUGUACAGUACUACUGCCAUGUGUUGGAGAUAGAGUCCCCUGACCUCUCCUCUUCUGCCUCCACUAGUCCUGGCUUCUACCUCAACCCAGCAGCACAGUGUACAGUACUACUGCCAUGUGUUGGAGAUAGAGAGUCCCCUGACCUCUCCUCUUCUGCCUCCACUAGCCCUGGCUUCUACCUCAACUCCACUUUCACUUUACCCACCUUAAAUGGCAUAGGGCCCAGUCACAACUACUACUGUAAAGACUACGUCCAAAAUGGUACCCUAUUCUCUAUUUAG
rnacentral:lncRNA from 13 species